GCCGGGGCAACCCGGCUAUGGCGAUAAACGGUCGGUGUAAUAAACCUAUUGGACCCGGGGGCGGUACCCGGCGCCUCCACCA
rnacentral:tmRNA from 6 species